GAAUAUUGGACAAUGGGCGCAAGCCUGAUCCAGCCAUGCCGCGUGUGUGAAGAAGGCCUUCGGGUUGUAAAGCACUUUCAGCGAGGAGGAAGGGUGUUGUGUAAAAAGCACAGCAUUUUGACGUUACUCGCUGAAGAAGCACCGGCUAACUCCGUGCCAGCAGCCGCGGUAAUACGGAGGGUGCAAGCGUUAAUCGGAAUUACUGGGCGUAAAGCGCACGUAGGCGGUGUGUUAAGUUGGAUGUGAAAGCCCCGGGCUCAACCUGGGAAUUGCAUUCAAAACUGGCACGCUAGAGUAUGUGAGAGGGGGGUAGAAUUCCAAGUGUAGCGGUGAAAUGCGUAGAGAUGUGGAGGAACACCGAUGGCGAAGGCAGCCUCCUGGGCCAACACUGACGCUCAUGCACGAAAGCGUGGGGAGCAAACAGG
rnacentral:rRNA from 1 species